CUAGCGGCAGGCUUACACAUGCAAGUCGAGGGGUAAGAUCGCUUCGGUGGAUAACGACCGGCGAAUGGGUGAGUAACACGUAUGCAAUUUACCUUUAACUGGAGGAUAGCUACGGGAAACCGUAAUUAAUACUCCAUAAUAUUCCGAAAUCGCAUGUUUUUGGAAUUAAAGUUUCGGCGGUUAAAGAUGAGCAUGCGGGGCAUUAGUUAGUUGGUAGGGUAACGGCCUACCAAGACAACGAUGCCUAGGGGGUCUGAGAGGAUGAUCCCCCACACUGGCACUGAGACACGGGCCAGACUCCUACGGGAGGCAGCAGUGAGGAAUAUUGGGCAAUGGGCGAAAGCUUGACCCAGCCAUGCCGCGUGCAGGAUGACUGUCCUAUGGAUCGUAAACUGCUUUUAUACGAGAAGAAUUUCCCCGAUUCUUCGGGGGUUGACGGUAUCGUAUGAAUAAGGGUCGGCUAACUCCGUGCCAGCAGCCGCGGUAAUACGGAGGACCCAAGCGUUAUCCGGAUUUACUGGGUUUAAAGGGUGCGCAGGCGGAAUAGUAAGUCGAUGGUGAAAGCCUACAGCUUAACUGUAGAAUUGCCAUUGAUACUGCUAUUCUUGGGUGCAGUCGAAGCGAGUGGAAUGUGUAGUGUAGCGGUGAAAUGCAUAGAUAUUACAUAGAACACCGAUAGCGAAAGCAGCUCGCUAGGCUGUUACUGACGCUGAGGCACGAAAGCGUGGGGAGCGAACAGGAUUAGAUACCCUGGUAGUCCACGCUGUAAACGAUGAUCACUAGUUGUUGGCGAUACAUUGUCAGUGACUGAGCGAAAGCGUUAAGUGAUCCACCUGGGAAGUACGUCCGCAAGGAUGAAACUCAAAGGAAUUGACGGGGGCUCGCACAACCGGUGGAACACGUGGUUCAAUUCGAUGCUACGCGAGGAACCUUACCUGGGCUUAAAUGCAGAACGACCUCCCGGGAAACCGGGAUUCCCUUCGGGGCGGUUUGCAAGGUGCUGCACGGCUGUCGUCAGCUCGUGCCAUGAGGUGUCGGGUUAAGUCCCGUAACGAGCGCAACCCUUGCCCUCCGUUA
rnacentral:rRNA from 1 species